rnacentral:rRNA from 2 species
GGAGUACGGCCGCAAGGUUAAAACUCAAAUGAAUUGACGGGGGCCCGCACAAGCGGUGGAGCAUGUGGUUUAAUUCGAUGCAACGCGAAGAACCUUACCUGGUCUUGACAUCCACAGAACUUUCCAGAGAUGGAUUGGUGCCUUCGGGAACUGUGAGACAGGUGCUGCAUGGCUGUCGUCAGCUCGUGUUGUGAAAUGUUGGGUUAAGUCCCGCAACGAGCGCAACCCUUAUCCUUUGUUGCCAGCGAUUAGGUCGGGAACUCAAAGGAGACUGCCAGUGAUAAACUGGAGGAAGGUGGGGAUGACGUCAAGUCAUCAUGGCCCUUACGACCAGGGCUACACACGUGCUACAAUGGCGCAUACAAAGAGAAGCGACCUCGCGAGAGCAAGCGGACCUCAUAAAGUGCGUCGUAGUCCGGAUUGGAGUCUGCAACUCGACUCCAUGAAGUCGGAAUCGCUAGUAAUCGUGGAUCAGAAUGCCACGGUGAAUACGUUCCCGGGCCUUGUACACACCGCCCGUCACACCAUGGGAGUGGGUUGCAAAAGAAGUAGGUAGCUUAACCUUCGGGAGGGCGCUUACCACUUUGUGAUUCAUGACUGGGGUGAAGUCGUAACAAGGUAACCGUAGGGGAACCUGCGGUUGGAUCACCUCCUUACCUUAAAGAA